AGGACGAACGCUGGCGGCGUGCUUAACACAUGCAAGUCGAACGAGAAAGGGGAGCAAUCCCUGAGUAAAGUGGCGCACGGGUGAGUAACACGUGACUAACCUACCCUUGAGUGGGGGAUAACCUAGGGAAACCUGGGCUAAUACCGCAUAAUACCUACGGGUCAAAGGAGCAAUUCGCUUUAGGAGGGGUCGCGGCAGAUUAGUUAGUUGGCGGGGUAAUGGCCCACCAAGACAGUGAUCUGUAU
rnacentral:rRNA from 1 species